rnacentral:lncRNA from 1 species
GUUUGCAGCUGAAAGAAAGCUGUGGCAGUGAGGAGAGGUUGCAAAUUUAGAAUCAAGUUCAAGUUCUCCUAGCAACAUGCACACCCCCGCUGCUGGCUGGUGUAAUCCAAGCACCAAACACGUGCAGCUGGGGCAGUGCGUGUUGCUAGGAGAACAAUGACUCUCUUGCUUCCAGAGCUGGAUUUGAUGAUGAGACAUCGUCUGCUACAGGAUUUGCAGGGAAACAUGGAGUAUCACUUUGGGCCUAUUUUCUAAGAGAAUGGCCUGAAGAGAAUAGAUUCAAGUUUUCUCCCAGAAAAGCCUCUGCUUCAGGAGCAGGGCAUAGCUGGCACCAAGGAAAGGAAGACUCCUAAUAGAAAACACCUGAAGCUGGUGAGCAGCCGCUUCCUGGAACACUCUACUGGUAAGGGGAGAAAUGCCUCAAAUGAGCAUGUGCACAACUUCAGUAAACAUGCUGUGCAUGUGGCCCCUCCCAAGUGCCCGCAGGCCACCACACAAGUGGACAGCCCUGGACAGCCCGCCCCUAGGGAAGAAUCAAGGGAGGAGAAACAGAAGCCCUGGAACUGUGCUAGCAUAUAAAACCCCAAGUCAAGGGCUGAAUGGCACACUUGGAUCUCUCAAGUCACCUGCUUGGCCCCCUUCCAAGUGUAUUUACUUCCAUUUGUUCCUGCUCUAAAACUUUUUAAUAAACUUUCACUCCUGCUCUAAAACUUGCCUCGGUCUCUCCCUCUGCCUUAAAACUACUUCUGCCCCCGCAGCCGAAUUCUU